rnacentral:rRNA from 1 species
UACGUAGGGCGCAAGCGUUGUCCGGAAUUAUUGGGCGUAAAGAGCUCGUAGGCGGCCUGUUGCGUCCGCUGUGAAAACCCGUGGCUUAACUGCGGGCUUGCGGUCGAUACGGGCGGGCUGGAGUUCGGUAGGGGAGACUGGAAUUCUGUGUGGAGCGGUGAAAUGCGUUGAUCUACAGAGGAACACCAAAAAAGGCGAAGGCAGUCAACUAUUCUGUUCCUGACAUUGAGGCAUGAAAGCGUGGGGAGCAAACCGG